rnacentral:rRNA from 1 species
CCUACGGGAGGCAGCAGUGGGGAAUAUUGCACAAUGGGGGAAACCCUGAUGCAGCAACGCCGCGUGAAGGAAGAAGGCCUUCGGGUUGUAAACUUCUGUCCUAGGGGAAGAAACAAAUGACAUUACCCUUGGAGGAAGCCCCGGCUAACUACGUGCCAGCAGCCGCGGUAAUACGUAGGGGGCGAGCGUUAUCCGGAAUUAUUGGGCGUAAAGAGUGCGUAGGUGGCAUCUUAAGCGCAGGGUUUAAGGCAAUGGCUCAACCAUUGUUCGCCUUGCGAACUGGGGUGCUUGAGUGCAGGAGGGGAAAGUGGAAUUCCUAGUGUAGCGGUGAAAUGCGUAGAUAUUAGGAGGAACACCAGUGGCGAAGGCGACUUUCUGGACUGUUACUGACACUGAGGCACGAAAGCGUGGGGAGCAAACAGGAUUAGAUACCCUGGUAGUCCACGCCGUAAACGAUGAGCACUAGGUGUCGGGGUCGCAAGACUUCGGUGCCGCAGUUAACGCAUUAAGUGCUCCGCCUGGGGAGUACGCACGCAAGUGUAAAACUCAAAGGAAUUGACGGGGACCCGCACAAGCAGCGGAGCAUGUGGUUUAAUUCGAAGCAACGCGAAGAACCUUACCAGGACUUGACAUCCUCUUGACAGAUCCUUAAUCGGAUUCUUCUUCGGACAAGAGAGACAGGUGGUGCAUGGUUGUCGUCAGCUCGUGUCGUGAGAUGUUGGGUUAAGUCCCGCAACGAGCGCAACCCUUGCCAUUAGUUGCCAUCAUUUAGUUGGGCACUCUAGUGGGACUGCCGGGGAAAACUCGGAGGAAGGUGGGGAUGACGUCAAAUCAUCAUGCCCCUUAUGUUCUGGGCUACACACGUGCUACAAUGGCCGGUACAACAGGCAGCGAACCCGUGAGGGGGAGCGAAUCCCAAAAGCCGGUCCCAGUUCGGACUGUAGGCUGCAACUCGCCUACACGAAGUUGGAGUUGCUAGUAAUCGCGGAUCAGAAUGCCGCGGUGAAUGCGUUCCCGGGUCUUGUACACACCGCCCGUCACACCAUGGAAGUUGGGGGUGCCCGAAGUCGGUUAUUUAAUCUAUCGCCUAAGGCAAAACCAAUGACUGGGGUGAAGUCGUAACAAGGUAGCCGUAUCGGAAGGUGCGGCUGGAUCA